rnacentral:lncRNA from 1 species
AAACAUCCUGCUCUAGUGGCAGAUGAGUCACACACACCACGCCAGCAUCCCAUCAUCUCUGUUCAAGCUUGGCAGAAAUAUGUGGGCAGAGGCAGCAGGAGACACAACUAAAUCAGGGAGAAGAAAGCUACAUACUAGCAGGAGUGUUUGCAAAAACACGGUAUCAAAAAUGUAAGGGUCUCUUAAAAUCUACCAAGAAGAAAUCCAAUAAUUCAAUGAAAAGUCAAACAUGAACAGACAUCUCAUCAAAGAAGACACACAAAUAUAAAUCUGUGUGUGAAAAGUUGUGCAGUUUGUCAUCGUGGAAGUGCAAACUAGAGCCAGAUUCCACAGUGCUCCCUGGAGUGGCUCAACUCCAAAAGACAAAGAAGCUGACAGUACACUUAUGGGGCCGUACUUGAAGCAACCCUCGACGCAUCUGGUUUUGAACUCACCUCUCGUCGAGUCCCAUCUGCCUUUUAAACUUCAAAUCUUAAACCAGAGAAGAUCAGGACUUCACCAUCCAUCCAUACCUGAAGCGAAGGCCCCAACAUUUCAUCCCAAAUGUCCACACCCACAGCAUAUUGGAGAGGGAGCAGGAGAUCAGAAAGGCAGUUUAUUUGGAGCCACUGAAGGCUGUCUUCACAAUGAUAGAGGAAAUGGCUGCUGAGAGACUGUCAGCCCAAAGAAAAGAAUGGUGGUUUAGGAGGGUCUGCAUAGCUUCAAUCUCAUCCAUCUUACCACGAUUCCCACCCCUGCUUCUGCCAUAACCCUAAAACAGGCACAAGAACAUCAAAGAAGAGAGUGCAAGGCCAGAAGCCCCCUCCUCACAAUGGGAGGGCUCCUAGCUUGCCUCUCCCUCCCUACUGCACGCUUCCCCUCCCAGCUGUUGACCUACACAUUUGCUUUCAAAACAAAGCUUUUGCAGAUGCAGACCACCACACACAUUUCCAAAGAAUGUGCCCAGCCUCAUAGUCUUCACUGAGCCUGUUACACAAUGGAUAAGGAAAAGGGGCAACAAGGCAUGGUGGGGAAUGGGAAUGGCAGACCUGUUUGUCAGUAUUUCAGAAAUCCUAAAACUACAUGAUAUAUUCAUUCAUAUUCUCUGCAAAUUCUUCAUAGUCUCAACUGAUACUCUCCAGCCUCAGCUUCUAACAAAUCCCCCUGUGAAUCUAUAGGCAUUGUAGUUUUUGUUAUACUUAUAUUCUGCACACGAACCAAAGAUCCCUUCAGACCUUCCUGCAGAAGAUCAGCAAAUUAAAGUAACUUAAGUGGAGGCAAUUUAAGUCUGAACAGUUAUAGAAUAUAAAACAGAUGAUUAGUGCUCUUGAGCCCAGGGAGAUGAAUAGGCUGAGGUUAGAAUAGAGAAGGAGCCUGCCCAGCCCCCACCUCACCUCCCCCCAGCAAGAGAUAAAGAGAGACAGACACAAAGAAGCUCCCUUAGUCUACAAAGCUCAGUGUGAAGACCCCCUUGAUGCACAAAGGAACUCUGCUUUUUCCCUUGACCACACUGCUUCGUGCUGGCUCUCACGUACAGCCAGCCUCUCCACAUUUACAACGAGGACUCCAUAAUUUCUGAAGUGCCUUAAUGCUGAGGGCCCUACAGUAGUUUUACCCACAUAGGGAAUCUUCUGAAUCACACAUAAUCAUUUUCUUUAGUACUGGAGUAUAAAUGAAGCUAAUGGGAAGAUAGUGGCCAUUUAUGAAAUGAUAGUAAUUUUUCCAAUUUUGUGUUCUGCACUCAAUUUCGAACUUCUGUUCCAUUUUUUGAUACAGUUCGGCACUCUGUACCAUUAUCGCAGUUUGCUUAAUUAAAACUUUUCCAUCUCACUCUCAGCUUCAAAUCAUCUUAUACAGAUGGGCCCCAAUUAACUACACUGUAAUUCAGCUCCCACAAAAACAUCCAGGGGUAUCAGCCAGAGAAGCCUAAGGGUUUACCUGCAAUCACGAUAUUCUGUAGUAAGGCACCACACAACAAGCAAACCAACACCAUUACAUCCAGAAAGAAAGAACAAGGUGGAGAUGUAAGAAGGUAUU